GGGUUGUGAGGUUAAGCGACUAAGCGUACACGGUGGAUGCCCUGGCAGUCAGAGGCGAUGAAGGACGUGCUAAUCUGCGAUAAGCGUCGGUAAGGUGAUAUGAACCGUUAUAACCGGCGAUUUCCGAAUGGGGAAACCCAGUGUGUUUCGACACACUAUCAUUAACUGAAUCCAUAGGUUAAUGAGGCGAACCGGGGGAACUGAAACAUCUAAGUACCCCGAGGAAAAGAAAUCAACCGAGAUUCCCCCAGUAGCGGCGAGCGAACGGGGAGGAGCCCAGAGCCUGAAUCAGUGUGUGUGUUAGUGGAAGCGUCUGGAAAGGCGCGCGAUACAGGGUGACAGCCCCGUACACAAAAAUGCACAUGCUGUGAGCUCGAUGAGUAGGGCGGGACACGUGGUAUCCUGUCUGAAUAUGGGGGGACCAUCCUCCAAGGCUAAAUACUCCUGACUGACCGAUAGUGAACCAGUACCGUGAGGGAAAGGCGAAAAGAACCCCGGCGAGGGGAGUGAAAAAGAACCUGAAACCGUGUACGUACAAGC
rnacentral:rRNA from 1 species